GAAAGACUUAGACUGACUAGCCUGAUGCAACGACGCCGCAUGGAGGAAGACGGCCUUCGGGUUGUAAACUCCUUUUAAUCGGGAAGAUUAUGACGGUACCGAUUGAAUAAGUCACGGCUAACUAUGUGCCAGCAGCCGCGGUAAUACAUAGGUGGCAAGCGUUAUCCGGAAUCACUGGGCGUAAAGAGUGUGUAGGUGGUUUUUUAAGUCAGAUGUAAAAUCUACAGGCUCAACUUGUAGCUCGCAUCUGAAACUGGAAGACUUGAGGGCAGAAGAGGUAAGUGGAAUUUAUGGUGUAGCGGUUAUAUGCGUAGAUAUCAUAAGGAACACCAAUGGCGAAGGCAGCUUACUGGGCUGUACCUGACACUGAGACACGAAAGCGUGGGGAGCGAACGGGAUUAAAUACCCCGGUAGUCCACGCCGUAAACGAUGCCUACUAGCUGUUCCAAGUUCGACCCUUCGAGUAGCGAAGCUAACGCGUUAAGUAGGCCGCCUGGGGAGUACGAUCGCAAGAUUAAAACUCAAA
rnacentral:rRNA from 1 species